rnacentral:rRNA from 1 species
GAUGAACGCUCGCGGCAGGCUUAAUACAUGCAAGUCGUGGGGCAGCAGGACUGUAGCAAUACAGUUGCUGGCGACCGGCAAACGGGUGCGGAACACGUACGCAACUUACCCUGAACUGGGGGAUAGCCCGGGGAAACCCGGAUUAAUACCCCGUAAUAUAAUGGAGUGGCAUCACUUUAUUAUUAAACCUCCGGCGGUUCGGGAUGGGCGUGCGGCUGAUUAGGUAGUUGGUUGAGGUAACGGCUCACCAAGCCUACGAUCAGUAACGGGUGUGAGAGCACGACCAGUCAGACGGGAACAGGGACCCGGGCCCGACUGCGACGGGAGGCAGCAGUAAGGAGUAUAGGGCAAUGGAGGCAACUCUGACCCAGCCAGGCCGCGUGGAGGAUGAAGGCCCUCUGGGGUGUAAACUUCUUUUAUAGGGGACGAAACCUGUGUAUGCUGACGCAGUGGACGGUACCCGAGGAAUAAGCACCGGCAAACUCCGU